CCUACGGGAGGCAGCAGUGAGGAAUAUUGGUCAAUGGACGAGAGUCUGAACCAGCCAAGUAGCGUGAAGGAUGACUGCCCUAUGGGUUGUAAACUUCUUUUAUCUGGGAAUAAAUUGUUCCACGUGUGGGCUUUUGUAUGUACCCUAUGAAUAAGGAUCGGCGAACUCCGUGCCAGCAGCCGCGGUAAUACGGAGGAUCCGAGCGUUAUCCGGAUUUUUUGGGUUUAAAGGGUGCGUAGGCGGGAUGCCAAGUCAGCGGUAAAAAUGCGGUGCUCAACGCCGUCGAGCCGUUGAAACUGGCGUUCUUGAGUGGGCGAGAAGUAGGCGGAAUGCGUGGUGUAGCGGUGAAAUGCAUAGAUAUCACGCAGAACUCCGAUUGCGAAGGCAGCAUACCGGCGCCCUACUGACGCUGAGGCACGAAAGCGUGGGUAUCGAACAGGAUUAGAUACCCCAGUAGUC
rnacentral:rRNA from 1 species